rnacentral:rRNA from 1 species
AACGAACGCUGGCGGCAUGCCUAACACAUGCAAGUCGAACGAUGCCUUCGGGCAUAGUGGCGCACGGGUGCGUAACGCGUGGGAAUCUGCCCUUGGGUUCGGAAUAACUCAGAGAAAUUUGAGCUAAUACCGGAUGAUGACGUAAGUCCAAAGAUUUAUCGCCCAAGGAUGAGCCCGCGUAAGAUUAGCUAGUUGGUGGGGUAAAGGCCUACCAAGGCGACGAUCUUUAGCUGGUCUGAGAGGAUGAUCAGCCACACUGGGACUGAGACACGGCCCAGACUCCUACGGGAGGCAGCAGUGGGGAAUAUUGGACAAUGGGCGAAAGCCUGAUCCAGCAAUGCCGCGUGAGUGAUGAAGGCCUAGGGUUGUAAAGCUCUUUACCAGGGAUGAUAAUGACAGUACCUGGAGAAUAAGCUCCGGCUAACUCCGUGCCAGCAGCCG